rnacentral:misc_RNA from 1 species
GAAAUGCGAUAAGUAAUGUGAAUUGAAGAAUUCAGUGAAUCAUCGAAUCUUUGAACGCACCUUGCGCUCCUUGGUAUUCCUUGGAGCAUGCCUGUUUGAGUAUCAUGAAAUCUUCAAAGUAAAUCUUUUGUUAACUCAAUUGGUUUCUACUUUGGUAUUGGAGGUCUUUGCAGCUUCACACCUGCUCCUCUUUGUUCAUUAGCUGGAUCUCAGUGUUAUGCUUGGUUCCACUCGGCGUGAUAAGUUAUCUAUCGCUGAGGACACUGUAAAAGGUGGCCAAGGUAAAUGCAGAUGAACCGCUUCUAAUAGUCCAUUGACUUGGACAAUACUUUUAUGAUCUGAUCUCAAAUCAGGUAGGAAUACCCGCUGAACUUAAGC